rnacentral:rRNA from 1 species
GCAAGUCGAACGAUAACGGGUCCAGCUUGCUGGAUGCCUACGAGCGGCGGACGGGUGAGUAACGCGUGGGAAUUUACCUAGUAGAAGGGGAUAGCUCGGAGAAAUCCGGAUUAAUACCGCAUACGCCCUAUGGGGGAAAGCAGGGGAUCUUCGGACCUUGCGCUAUUAGAUAAGCCCGCGUCGGAUUAGCUUGUUGGUGAGGUAAAGGCUCACCAAGGCAACGAUCCGUAGCUGGUCUGAGAGGAUGAUC